rnacentral:lncRNA from 1 species
CUCAGAGCCAGAGGUGACCACGCAAAGAAACUGUAAACUACCCCCACCCCCUUCCAGAAUCCCCAAAAGGAAGGAAUGUGGGGCUCCCACCACACAAAGGAACAGGAUUUGAGCCAAUUUAGUUGAGUCUCAAAGGACAGCAUUCCUCAGCUCACAUCUGGUUUAAACUCAAAGAAUAGAUUUGAGGUUAGGAAACGCUGCCCUGGUGCUUGCUUUGCCAGUCAUUUUAGUAGGUCAACAGAUGCUUACAGUUUGGCAACUGGGAGGCUUUCCAAAGGUGAGUUAAUGAGAGUUUAGAGAGCCCCUCACGGCCGCAUUCGAGGCUGGACAUACUCCGACAUGAGCAUGAGCAGUGGAGGGUCCUGCGUAACUGCUCGGCGAUGCGGAGGCCCGGCCGACCGGAGCGACCCAGGCACUCAGUGGAGGGAAGACUAAUGAAGCAGUGGCACAGUUUCCACAAAGAAAAACAAAGGUGGGAGAAAGGAAAGGAAGACUUGAUAAAGUUUCCUUUGGGUAUGGAACACACGAUGGACCGUAGCGUGAACAGCAUGUAUGGACAGCGAUACAGUACACCUAAAAUAAAACAGUAGCCGUGCACCAGACUGGGUAGGUGCGUGUGGUACACACGCGGGCCAAACUGCCCAUUUCCUCACAUAAAUAUAGCAGUUUCACUACCUAGCAGUAUAUAUAUAUUAAUGCUUUAUGAGGGGGAGGGGAACCCCACUAAACUGCCUUCUUAAAUAUCACACUACACGAUAAGUUUUUCUUUGCUCGGAAAUGUAAAAAAUAAUGUGCUCGCAAAUGUUAAUGAACUAGAACUAAGAGUAAAUACUUUGUGAAGAAUAGAUAAGAAACUAGAACAAUUAGACCUCAGUUGGCCUGGGCCAACUGUGAAAAUGCAGAAGCCCCGAGCUGGAAGGAUUUGACUAGACCUCUAUAGAUCAAAUCCUAUGUCCCCUUUGUAACAUCCCAGUGAAAUGGUCAUUCUGCCUUGUUUUAAAUACUUUAGGUGGAGGGACAUCCAUUACUUAAAAGUGCAUCCAGCCUCAAGUUCUUUUCAUUUAGGGAAAUAUACUUACCUGUACCUAUACAUUCAUUUGAUUCUUAUUCUUCCCUUUCACCCCACAUGGCAUAGAUCUAAUCCCUCCUACAACCCUUUAAAUAUUGGAAGACAGUCCUCAUAGGACUGAGCUGUUACUAACCAAGACUUGUCUCCUGAACCAGUCACAGGAGGAGCUGUAUCCAUCUACACUAUUCUGCAGCUGGAGGAGCCUCAUCCCUAGAGCAGAUUGGUGGUGGUGUUUCUCAGUUGAUGGGCCUGUGAUGUGGUUGUGUUGAUGAGUUACUGAUGAAGACACUGGAGCCAGACAGGGGAGAUCCUAAGCCUAGAGAGCCCAGAAAGAGCCCUGAAUCUUAACUCAGUUGGUGGCAGCAAAGGCAGGCACUCUAAUGUUUCACCUAGCCAAAAAAACCCACAAAAGCUAUUAAUUCAUGUCAUUGACAAUCAACCAAGCCUAUAAUUUGGAGGUUGGGGCCUUGAGCUCCAGCACUGCCACUGGCCAGAUGCAUGCCCUUGGGCAAUCCUCCCCACUAUUUCAGAGUUCCCCCUGUAAUAUGUAAAUACCUAUGCUGCUUUUCUGCCUAGAAAAGUGGUCCUUCUCCUGGUCUUAGCUAAGAUGUCACUUCUCCAGGAACCCUGGCCUGACUCCCACCCCUUCCCCACCCUGAGACUAAGCCUCUGUCAUUGUACCCUCUCCUCACCUCUGCUGUAGCACUUUCUUCAUUGUGUGUUAAUAACAUGCUUACUUGUGCCUACUGUACUGGAAAUUCUUUAAGACCAAGGACUCAGUUUUGGUUUCCAGCACUUGGUUCAGUGCCUGGUACACAGCAGAACUUAGAAAAGAUUUCUUGAGGGGAUGCCUGGGUGGCUCAGUGGUUGAGCAUCUGCCUUUGGCUCAGGUCAUAAUCCCCGGUCCUGGGAUUGAGUCCCACAUCAGGCUCUCUGCAGGGAUCCUGCUUCUCCCUCUGCCUAUGUCUCUGCCUUUCUCUGUGUGUCUCUCACGAACAAAUAAAUAAAAUCUUUAAAAAAGAGAAAAAAGAUUU